rnacentral:rRNA from 1 species
CGAGUCAUUGGGUGUUACGAAACCCAAAGGCGUAGUGAAGGUAAAGGUUCGGCUUGUCCGGGCUGAGGUGAGAUCCUGUUGUUUUGCUCUCAAUUUCCAAGAUGCGAGCAGCAGGCGCAUCACCGGCCCGUCCCAUGACGUAGACAUGCGGUCUUGCACCGUGUGCACCGUCGGGGCGGAGCAAGAG